AUUGAACGCUGGCGGCAGGCCUAACACAUGCAAGUCGAACGAGUGGCGGACGGGUGAGUAAUGUCUGGGAAACUGCCUGAUGGCGGGGGAUAACUAAUGGAAACGGUAGCUAAUACCGCAUACCAUCGGAUGUGCCCAGAUGGGAUUAGCUAGUAGGUGGGGUAAAGGCUCACCUAGGCGACGAUCCCUAGCUGGUCUGAGAGGAUGACCAGCCACACGGGAACUGAGACACGGGCCAGACUCCUACGGGAGGCAGCAGUGGGGAAUAUUGCACAAUGGGCGCAAGCCUGAUGCAGCCAUGCCGCGUGUAUGAAGAAGGCCUUCGGGUUGUAAAGUACUUGCAGCGAGGAGGCGUUACUCGCAGAAGAAGCACCGGCUAACUCCGUGCCAGCAGCCGCGGUAAUUC
rnacentral:rRNA from 1 species